rnacentral:rRNA from 1 species
GAACGUGAACGGGGGCAACCCCUAGUAAAGUGGCGUACGGGUGAGUAACGCGUAGGCAAUCUACCCCAGAGUCUGGAAUAACCUGCCGAAAGGCGGGCUAAUACUGGAUAGAGCGACGGAAUCCGUAAUUGGGUUUUUCGGGAAAGGGAGGGAGCAAUCCCCCUUGCUCUGGGAUGGGCCUGCGUCCCAUCAGCUUGUUGGUAAGGUAAUGGCUCACCAAGGCGACGAUCAGUAGCUGGUCUGAGAGGAUGAUCAGCCACAUUGGGACUGAGACACGGCCCAAACUCCUACGGGAGGCAGCAGUGGGGAAUAUUGGACAAUGGGCGCAAGCCUGAUCCAGCCAUGCCGCGUGAGUGAUGAAGGCCCUAGGGUUGUAAAGCU